GUUGAAACAUUGGUUACCGUAUGAUCAUCAAAGUUAAGCAACAUUGAGCAUGAUCAGUACCUAGAUGGGUGACUGCUUGGGAAUACCAGAUGCUGUAA